rnacentral:ncRNA from 1 species
GCUCUCUGGAGAAUCCCAUAUAUGGGUGCCGAAGGUGUAAGCAGAAGGAAAACUUCUGUGAAUCUCUCAGGCAAAAGGACAGUGAAG